rnacentral:rRNA from 1 species
GACGAACGCUGGCGGCGUGCUUAACACAUGCAAGUCGAACGGAAAGGCCCUGCUUUUGUGGGGUGCUCGAGUGGCGAACGGGUGAGUAACACGUGAGUAACCUGCCCUUGACUUUGGGAUAACUUCAGGAAACUGGGGCUAAUACCGGAUAGGAGCUCCUGCUGCAUGGUGGGGGUUGGAAAGUUUCGGCGGUUGGGGAUGGACUCGCGGCUUAUCAGCUUGUUGGUGGGGUAGUGGCUUACCAAGGCUUUGACGGGUAGCCGGCCUGAGAGGGUGACCGGCGACGUUGGGAGGGAGCUACGGCACAGACGCCUGCGGGAGGCAGCAGCGGGGCAUAUUGCACAAUGGGCGGAAGCCUGAUGCAGCCACGCCGCGUGGGGGAUGACGGGCUGCGGGUAGUGAACCACAAUCGCCUGUGAACCAGCGUGAAUGACGGUAAUGGAUAAAGAAGCACCGGCUAACUACAUG